AUAUUCCCCCCAAGAGAGGUGUGUCAAAACCAACAAACAAAAUGUGUACAUUAAAACUUGAGAAAUUGAGCUUGCUCAGACUAUAUUGAUCAGCCUUUAGCAAGAUAGAGCUUCUAAGGGUCAUCCAACCAUCUAAAGUAAAAGUAAUGAGGAGAGGCUUUUGGGUCACUUCAGUGAUGGCUGAGUGAUGCUGUAAAAUCAUUGUGAGCAAAUGGCCAUAGGUUGUCUCUCCUUAGAGUACCCAGAUGUUCAUAUUCUGCAUUCAUUGAAUGAGGAAGGGCGGGAAAUAAGCAAUGUAAUGGUCUGCUGGCUGAGGAAUUCUGGAAUCAAAAGUUGCCAAGGUUUAUAAUACUGAUUUCAGACAAUAAAUGAAUGCUACAUGAGGCCACUGUUAAAACAAGAAGAAUAUAGCAGUAUCCUGAGGAAUGUCUGCAAAAAAUGACAACCAAAAGGAAAAGAAAUAGAGUUGUGAUUAGAGACACCUUAUAAUGUAGUGGUUUAAAGCGUUGGGCCAGUUUUUAUUCUGUCCUCAGUCAUGGAGGCUGACAUCGGACUAGUCACUCUUUUUCAGGCCAACUUAACUCACUGGGUUAUAGUGGAGACAAAGCUUGUACUGGCCUUAAAUAUAAGAAAAAAAUAUCAUAUUAGCCUAGUGAAGACUAAACAUGUUCGUUUGAAUGACAGUAUUCAUCUGACAUGAUGAACUUGUCCUGAAUAACCCAAAGUUUAUUUUAUGAAAUAUGCUAAAACAGAAAUAUAAGUUUACUAAAGUAAUGGCUAGCUUCAAGAAGGUAAGCCAAAAACAAACAAACUACUUCUGUUUUGUGAAUGCAGUCACAAUGUAUGGAAGAAAGUUCAAGAAAACAGGAUAACUGAAUCGAGUGGAGUAUCCUGAAAGAAAGCAACACUAGUUAUUAGUAACUUGAAUAAAGGCAUCCACAGGGAAGAGAAGAAAGAAGGGAAAGGAUGACACAUGCAAUGAUGGACGAAUGUUAUGACUUAGCUACUUACAUUGCAUCCUGAUGUGAUGGCACAUGUGCCAUUCGAUCUUCAUUUGUUUUCUAUCUCCUGUUAAAGUCCUAUCUAUAUGGGUUUAUAGAAUACUUGGCUGUUCCUGGAGAAAAUGGGUGGGGACUUUGUGUUCCAAAAGGAUGACUUAGUGUGAUUGUGCUUUGCCAAUAUCACUGCAGAAUCACUAGUAGAGUAGGAUACUGAUUGGGUGUUAUAGGAUCAGGGUCAUAGAAAGGCAUACUGAUGAAUGAAGAAGUGGGGAGAUAGCAGAGAAACACUCAAUAAAGACAAUGUUUGAAUAAACUUGGAAUUACCCCUUGCUUUCA